GUUGUGCACAUCACGUGAGUACGAACUGUG
rnacentral:snRNA from 1 species